rnacentral:tRNA from 1 species
AUACUUUUAGCUCAGUUGGUUAGAGCAGACGGCUCAUAACCGUCCGGUCGUAGGUUCGAGUCCUACAGGGUACA